UAGAGGAAGUAAAAGUCGUAACAAGGUUUCCGUAGGUGAACCUGCGGAAGGAUCAUUACAGUGUCUAGUCGGGGGGCCCCUCGGGGCCCCGGGCGACUGACCACCCUUGCCUACCUAACCACUGUUGCUUCGGCAGGCCCGCUCCCGGCGCCCCCUUACCGGGGUUUCCGGGUGCGGCCUGGGGCCUGGCUUAACCGCCGCCCGGGUGAGCGCCUGCCGGGGGAUUAGUUGAAACACUUGUUGAUCAGUGAGAACUCUGAGUUGAUUGCAAAAUCGUUAAAACUUUCAACAACGGAUCUCUUGGUUCCAGCAUCGAUGAAGAACGCAGCGAAAUGCGAUAAGUAAUGUGAAUUGCAGAAUUCCGUGAAUCAUCGAAUCUUUGAACGCACAUUGCGCCCUCUGGUAUUCCGGGGGGCAUGCCUGUCCGAGCGUCAUUGCACCAAUCAAGCACGGCUUGUGAGUUGGGCCAUCGUCCCCUAAAAAGGACGGGCCCGAAACGCAGUGGCGGCGUCGCGGUUUCUCGAUCAGCCAGAGUGUAUGGGGAAUCUUUUCACACGCUCACGGCCGGGACCGGCGCCAGUCGAUAACCCAACCAAAUUUAUCAAGGUUGACCUCGGAUCAGGUAGGGAUACCCGCUGAACUUAAGCAUAU
rnacentral:rRNA from 1 species